GGAGUGUCUGUGGCUCAGGGGUGGAACAUCCAUUUUGCAAGCAGAAGGCCCCAGGUUCCAAUCCUGGCAGCCCCA
rnacentral:tRNA from 1 species